rnacentral:tRNA from 2 species
GGGCGAUUGGCGCAGUGGUAGCGCGCUUCGUUCACACCGAAGAGGUCGGCGGUUCGAAACCGCCAUCGCCCAC